AAGGUAGCAUAAUCAUUUGCCUCUUAAUUAGUGGCUAGUAUGAAUGGACAAACGAGAAUUCCCCUGUCUCUAUAAAGUCAAUGAAAAUUAAUCUUCAGGUGAAGAAGCCUGAAUCUUAUUAAAAGACAAAAAGACCCUAUUGAGCUUACAUUCUAUCUCUAAAAUAUAAAAAUAAAAUAAAACUAACCUUUUUACAAGAAUUUUGCUGGGGCGGCAAAGGAGCAACCAAAAACUCCUUUUCUCAAAGACUUAUUAGUCUACUAACUGAUCCGUACUAACGAUUAACAAAAUUAGUUACCAUAGGGAUAACAGGCUAAUUUUUCUCUAAAGCUCGCAUUAACAGAAAAGAUUGGCACCUCGAUGUUGGCUUAGGAUACCCUGAGGGCGCAGAAGCCCUUUAAGGUGGGUUUGUUCAACCUUUAAAAUCCUACGUGAUCUGA
rnacentral:rRNA from 1 species